GGAUUAGAUACCCUGGUAGUCCUAGCCGUAAACGAUGGACACUAGGUGUUGGACGUAUCGACCCGUUCAGUACCGCAGCCAACGCGUUAAGUGUCCCGCCUGGGGAGUACGCACGCAAGUGUGAAACUCAAAGGAAUUGACGGGGGCCCGCACAAGCGGUGGAGUAUGUGGUUUAAUUCGAUGCAACGCGAAGAACCUUACCAGGGCUUGACAUCCCGCGAACUUCUGUGAAAGCGGAAGGUGCCUUCGGGAGCGCGGAGACAGGUGGUGCAUGGCUGUCGUCAGCUCGUGCUG
rnacentral:rRNA from 1 species